UCGGGAAUUUUGGGCAAUGGGCGAAAGCCUGACCCAGCAACGCCGCGUGAAGGAUGAAGUAUUUCGGUAUGUAAACUUCGAAAGGAUAGGAAGAAUAAAUGACGGUACUAUUUAUAAGGUCCGGCUAACUACGUGCCAGCAGCCGCGGUAAUACGUAGGGACCAAGCGUUGUUCGGAUUUACUGGGCGUAAAGGGCGCGUAGGCGGCAUGACAAGUCACUUGUGAAAUCUCUGGGCUUAACCCAGAACGGCCAAGUGAUACUGUCGCGCUAGAGUGCAGAAGGGGCAAUCGGAAUUCUUGGUGUAGCGGUGAAAUGCGUAGAUAUCAAGAGGAACACCUGAGGUGAAGACGGGUUGCUGGGCUGACACUGACGCUGAGGCGCGAAAGCCAGGGGAGCAAACGGGAUUAGAUACCCAAGUAGUCCCUGAGCGGGCUGGCAAGGCGCAU
rnacentral:rRNA from 1 species